GCAUAAGCCAGCUUGACUGCGAGCGUGACGGCGCGAGCAGGUGCGAAAGCAGGUCAUAGUGAUCCGGUGGUUCUGAAUGGAAGGGCCAUCGCUCAACGGAUAAAAGGUACUCCGGGGAUAACAGGCUGAUACCGCCCAAGAGUUCAUAUCGACGGCGGUGUUUGGCACCUCGAUGUCGGCUCAUCACAUCCUGGGGCUGAAGUAGGUCCCAAGGGUAUGGCUGUUCGCCAUUUAAAGUGGUACGCGAGCUGGGUUUAGAACGUCGUGAGACAGUUCGGUCCCUAUCUGCCGUGGGCGCUGGAGAACUGAGGGGGGCUGCUCCUAGUACGAGAGGACCGGAGUGGACGCAUCACUGGUGUUCGGGUUGUCAUGCCAAUGGCACUGCCCGGUAGCUAAAUGCGGAAGAGAUAAGUGCUGAAAGCAUCUAAGCACGAAACUUGCCCCGAG
rnacentral:rRNA from 2 species